UACGUAGGGACCGAGCGUUGUCCGGAAUCAUUGGGCGUAAAGAGCGUGUAGGCGGCUUGCUAAGUCUUGCGUGAAAUCUCGGGGCUCAACCCCGAGCGGUCGUGGGAAACUGGCAGGCUAGAGUGCUGUAGGGGAGACUGGAAUUCCUGGUGUAGCGGUGAAAUGCGCAGAUAUCAGGAGGAACACCGGUGGCGAAGGCGGGUCUCUGGGCAGUAACUGACGCUGAGGAGCGAAAGCGUGGGGAGCGAACAGG
rnacentral:rRNA from 1 species